AUUGAACGCUGGCGGCAGGCCUAACACAUGCAAGUCGAGCGGAUGAAGGGAGCUUGCUCCUGGAUUCAGCGGUGGACGGGUGAGUAAUGCCUAGGAAUCUGCCUGGUAGUGGGGGAUAACGUCCGGAAACGGGCGCUAAUACCGCAUACGUCCUGAGGGAGAAAGUGGGGGAUCUUCGGACCUCACGCUAUCAGAUGAGCCUAGGUCGGAUUAGCUAGUUGGUGGGGUAAAGGCCUACCAAGGCGACGAUCCGUAACUGGUCUGAGAGGAUGAUCAGUCACACUGGAACUGAGACACGGUCCAGACUCCUACGGGACGCAGCAGUGGGGAAUAUUGGACAAUGGGCGAAAGCCUGAUCCAGCCAUGCCGCGUGUGUGAAGAAGGUCUUCGGAUUGUAAAGCACUUUAAGUUGGGAGGAAGGGCAGUAAGUUAAUACCUUGCUGUUUUGACGUUACCAACAGAAUAAGCACCGGCUAACUUCGUG
rnacentral:rRNA from 1 species